GCCAGCAAUGAUAGCACGUUGGAUGCGUCAGUUCUUCAUGGAUCACUGAUGUUAAGCAGUGGCGCGGGGUUGAUAUCUGGAUGGGUGACCAUCUGGACAAUCACGUCCUGCUAAAU
rfam:Asian citrus Psyllid, Diaphorina citri - Florida Strain, whole genome shotgun sequence.